UACGAAGGGGGCUAGCGUUGCUCGGAAUCACUGGGCGUAAAGCGCACGCAGGCGGAUUGUUAAGUCAGGGGUGAAAUCCUGGAGCUCAACUCCAGAACUGCCUUUGAUACUGGCGAUCUCGAGUCCGGGAGAGGUGAGUGGAACUGCGAGUGUAGAGGUGAAAUUCGUAGAUAUUCGCAAGAACACCAGUGGCGAAGGCGGCUCACUGGCCCGAUACUGACGCUGAGGUGCGAAAGCGUGGGGAGCAAACAGG
rnacentral:rRNA from 1 species